rnacentral:rRNA from 1 species
AUGGUGCUAUUCGAGCUCAUCUCGGGACGACGGAAUUCCGAGGGGUACAGCGAGGUGGAGGCUGCAGGGAGUGAGAGUAGUGAGUCGUGGACCUUCUUCCCUGUGUGGGCCGCGGAGAAGGUCUUGAAAGGGGACGUAAGUGCCGUGGCAGACCCGCGGCUGAGUGGCGAGGUGGUGCUGGAGGAGCUGAGGCGGGCGUGCACGGUGGCGUGCUGGUGCACCCAGGACCAGGAGGGGCAGCGCCGGACCAUGGCGCAGGUCGUGCAGGCGCUGGAGGGCACCAUCCACGUCCAGGCACCGCCGGUGCCGCGAGUGUUGCAACAGCUCGUUACAUGA